AUCAUUGAAGGCUUAGCAAUGAAAUACUUCAUAAGUACAUGUAAUAUCUUCAUCCUUACUAUGUAAUUAGUGCAUUAUUGCUUAUCCCGAUGAAUAAUAUCUA
rnacentral:ncRNA from 1 species